UACGUAGGGGGCUAGCGUUGUUCGGAAUUAUUGGGCGUAAAGCGCACGUAGGCGGCUUAGCAAGUUGGAUGUGAAAUCCCUCGGCUCAACCAAGGAAGUGCAUCCAAAACUGCUGAGCUUGAGUACUUAAGAGGAUCGCGGAAUUCCCAGUGUAGAGGUGAAAUUCGUAGAUAUUGGGAAGAACACCGGUGGCGAAGGCGGCUCACUGGCUCAUUUCUGACGCUCAGGCGCGACAGCGUGGGGAUCAAACAGG
rnacentral:rRNA from 1 species